AAGCUAAAAACUCCAAGGAGUUGAAUGUAUUAUCAUUUACUUAGAAAAAGCAGCCUUAUAUAGUAAUAAGGUCUUGUAAUUUAGAAGACAAGCAUGUGGGGGUGGAGGUGGGGGAGGGAACAAAAUCCUCAUUAGCCUUUGCCAAAGGCCCUGGCACAGAAUUUUCCUGACUAUUCAGAGAUCAGUGUCCUAUAUUUACUUACCAAGGACAAUUUAUUUUCUUUUAUAUUUUCAAAGUGCUUGAAAUGAUUUCUUCUCUUCGUGAUGAUUUCCAUAUGCUGUUUCCAAUUAAAGGGCAAUAGGUUAUUCAGCAAAUGUGAGGCAGCAUUCUAAAACUAUUAAAUGCCACUUCACAAGGUGGGACUCCAAGGACUACAGGAGCCCUUCCAAUGACAUCCGGGUCUCAAAAAUCACUGAGUAGAAGACAGCAGAUAUGCCUUAAUUUCAUAAAAGUUAGUUAGAUAAAAUUAGAAUAACCGCAAACAUGCUAAUAAUAAUUUUUAAACUCUUGAAUGUUUUCUAAGUACUAAGUGAUUUGAAUGUAUAAUUUCUAACCUGAAAACACUCCUUGGAAAUGAGCGUUAUGACUAUCCCCAUGUUACAAAUGAGGAAACUGAGGCACAAAGACUAAUAUAUUGAAAGUCCAUUUGCUCUAAAUAGAGCUCAACAGAAUUAUAUGCAAUUAAUUACAGCUUGAGGUAUUUCCUUUUAAAAAUCUGUACCAUUGGCGGGGCACGGUGGCUCAUGCCUGUAAUCCUAGCACUUUGGGAGGCUGAGGUGGGCGGAUCACGAGGUCAGGAGAUCAAGACCAUCUUGGCCAACAUGGUGAAACCCCUUGUUGAAACUACUGAAAAUACAAAAAUUAGCUGGGCAUGGUGGCAUGUGCCCAGCACUUUGGGAGGCUGAGGUGGGUGGAUCCCCUAAAGUCAGGAGUUCCAGGCCAGCCUGGCCAACAUGGUGAAACCUCAUCUCUACUAAAACAAAUAAAAUUUUCUCCAGAAGAUACUAUUAAAGGCGACAAGAUAUUUGGGGUUAAAUGACACUCAUUGGUCAUGAUUACAGAUUUCCUAGGAUAAAAAUAACAUGUCCUGAAAAGGGGAGCCACAAGCCUGGCCACAGUGACUAGGGAAAGAGUUUAGAGUCAGAUAGUUGACUGAAGCUUUAAUUAAAGUUGACUGUUUUAAUAACCAAAAGCCACCAGAAAAGAUGAGAUCUGCCCAAAAUGUUACUAACAAAGGGAUUCAUCUUUAUCAUGUUGAAAGCAGUUACUGGAAGAAAUAUAUGUUUAUAAUGGAAUGAGUUGACACUCCUUAAAAAAAAUCAUUUACAUCACACAGGUUCAUAUCAAUCACGUGUUCUUUAUGUAUGUUAGUCAUGAAAACUUAUCACCAAAUCUUUUUCCCCCUUUAGAAAUACCUAUGUUUCUGGAAUUCUUCUAUUUGAAACAUUUUAAAAACCUUACUGAUGGCACUAAGGGAUAAGAAUUAUAUUAUCUGAAAUGUGCUUUGUGUA
rnacentral:lncRNA from 1 species